GACAGAGGGGGCAAGCGUUGCUCGGAAUUACUGGGCGUAAAGGGCGCGUAGGCGGAAUGGCAAGUCGGUCGUGAAAUCCUUCGGCUCAACCGAAGAACGUCGAUCGAAACUGCCGUUCUUGAGGAUUGCAGAGGAGACUGGAAUUCCCGGUGUAGCGGUGAAAUGUGUAGAGAUCGGGAGGAACACCGGUGGCGAAGGCGGGUCUCUGGGCAAUUCCUGACGCUGAGGCGCGAAAGCUAGGGGAGCGAACAGG
rnacentral:rRNA from 1 species